rnacentral:rRNA from 1 species
GUUGAACGCUGGCGGCAUGCUUUACACAUGCAAGUCGAACGGUAACAGGUUAAGCUGACGAGUGGCGAACGGGUGAGUAAUGCAUCGGAACGUGCCCGGUCGUGGGGGAUAACGCAGCGAAAGCUGCGCUAAUACCCCAUACGAUCUGAGGAUGAAAGCGGGGGACCGUAAGGGCUCCCGCGAUCGGGGCGGCCGAUGUCAGAUUAGGUAGUUGGUGAGGUAAAGGCUCACCAAGCCAACGAUCUGUAGCUGGUCUGAGAGGACGACCAGCCACACUGGGACUGAGACACGGCCCAGACUCCUACGGGAGGCAGCAGUGGGGAAUUUUGGACAAUGGGCGAAAGCCUGAUCCAGCAAUGCCGCGUGCAGGAAGAAGGCCUCGGGUUGUAAACUGCUUUUGUACGGAGCGAAAAGGCUCUCUCUAAUACAGGGGGCUCAUGACGGUACCGUAAGAAUAAGCACCGGCUAACUACGUGCCAGCCGCCGCGGUAA